GGGGAUGGGACAUAGCUCACUGGUAGGCCACCUGCUUUGCAUGCAGAAAGUCCCAGGUUCAAUCCCUGGCAUCUCUG